rnacentral:rRNA from 1 species
GCAGCCGCGGUAAUACGUAGGGGGCAAGCGUUAUCCGGAUUUACUGGGUGUAAAGGGAGCGCAGACGGCUAUGCAAGUCUGAAGUGAAAGCCCGGGGCUCAACCCCGGGACUGCUUUGGAAACUGUGUAGCUAGAGUGUCGGAGAGGUAAGCAGAAUUCCCAGUGUAGCGGUGAAAUGCGUAGAUAUUGGGAAGAAUACCGGUGGCGAAGGCGGCUUACUGGACGAUAACUGACGUUC